CAUGUUUGUUUCAGCUUGCAUUCACAUCAUUUGGAAAAGUUGGCAUUUUGGGCUGAUGAGCUCUUUUGAAAAAAUAGGUGUAGCACGAGAAAGGAACAUGUCUGAUAUUAACCAAAUUGGGAUCAAAAUGACUAAAAGAUAUUACUAGAAAAUUUCCUUAAGGUUUGGUGUUUUAAAAAUGCACUGUGAGGAUAUUGGAAGAUAAGGAGGGGCAGAUUCUAACUGCCCCCCCCCCCGGAGCUGUUUGGGUUCAGACAAAUUAGUCCAACCUCAGUCAUGACUACACAGUCAAUACAAAUUUUGUCUUUAAUAUAACAAGGGAAUUGUUAGGUCCCCAUCCUGGGUUCUCUCCUGAUAAUACAAGGUAAUUGGCCAAGUCCCAAGGACCUCUUUUUAAAUGCAUAGCUACGAUGAAUUUUUCUUAAACACAAAUUUUCUACACCUUUGUAUCUUCUUUAAUUGUAAGAAAACCCCUCUGCAAUUCUAUUUAUCAAAUAUAUUGAAAACAACUUGUUUUUAAAAAUAGCCGUUAGCUGAACCCUUAGAUUCUUUUAUUUCAUUCCAGCAACUGGGGGAAUAGAUUUUCUGAACAGAAUCGAGUGCACAAAUAACUAGCAGUGACAAUUGUAAAAGUUCUCCACAUGUUAUCCUGCAGUUUUUAAAAAUAAUUUGGGUUGAAAGAGCGAACUGUUUAGCCAUUGGGGAAGCUCUAUGUACAAAAUUCGCCACGUUUAAAAAUUGUUCGUGAAUGAUGUAAUCUGACCACAUGAUGCAAAUUGUCCAAUCCAAGACCAGAACGAAGGUCAUGGGUCGUGACACAAAGCCGUAAACAUGGAGACGUCCCGUGAUGCGGAUGGCAUGUGCCUCAACGUCAACAUUGAUGAAUUUCAGGUGUCUAUUGCAUGUAGAAUCGGUCACAUUUGAAAAAGUAAAAGCACUUACAAAUGUCCCAUGGAGAAAGUUCACUUCGUGUGCCAAAGAGUGGCUUGAUUUAUAAGGCAGAGAUCGCGAAAUCACCGAACCAACCGAGUGCAAGGGACAUGUACAUUGGUUUUCAUGAGACACGCAACCGGAGUUGUUUAAAACUCCUGAAUGCUGCUAGAAAACAAAAGUUACAUGAAGAUUCCCCCUCUGAAGCUUCAUCUUCUUGCCCUAAAAAACUCUGGGCUGGAUCAAGAUUUUUCUUCUGGAAGAUCUUCAAGACUCUCAUGACUCUGGCAUGUCUGGCGUGUUGCUUGUAUGUUAACGUAAAUGUAUCACGGAGGAAAGUUGAGCAGUUCGUCACUCGACGUGGGAAACGUGUCAAGGAUAAGCUGUUACAGGCAGAAAUUUCUGGUGGAGGAAUGCUUCGUCAAGCAGUAGAGAGCAAAAGAGACGAGAAUGUUUUGAUACACAUUUGGGACAAAGAUUGUCGCUCUGGAGGUUCAAUAUCGCACCUCUUGUUACAAAUCAUACACUCAGUUCCUGACAAGGAAAAGCAAGGACCCUGAAGGAAGUGGCUAAAAAGAGAUUAUCCUGAGCUCCGACAAAUUUUUUUGGGGAAACAAGUGUGAGAUUGUCAACUCCUCCACAUUGUCAUCAAGAGGUGUGGCCGAAUCUCUGGACACUUCAGAAAAUGAUUCAUGAACCGACACGUCUGACUUGGAAACUGGUACAGAUGCUCCCACCUCUUCAUACACUGUUUAAGGACAAAAUGACUCUGUACUUGAUGAUUUUUGAUUGAUAGUAAUGAGAAAAUGCUCCAGGGUUCCAAUUCGCAGCUCUCUUCAGUGCUGUCUUUUCAAGAAAGCACAAAGCAUCUAGAUUUCGUAGCUGUCCUGUUCAUCAUUAGAGUUGUUUCCUUUACCUUUGCAUUGUGCAAUUUUAUUUAUAAAAAUAGCAUUACAUCUAAAUUAAAUGUGCUCUUUUGAUACUCAAUUUAACUAACCAGUGAGAUUAACCUUUUUGGGACAUUUUUCUAAAUUCCUUGUUUCAUAGUAUGGCCCGUUCCAGAUAAUCACACCAAAGUCUGAAUUAGUCAUUUGAUUUGGAAUUGGAUGUCAUUUUUAGCACCGAAUGUUUGGCUCUAACAAACGGGGCCUCAGAAACUUAAUUGCAUUAUGAGUACAUUGAGUGAAGUUCAGUGCAUACAUUUCCACUGCUGUCAGCAACUUAUUACAUUUUCUUCUCCAUGUUGGAUAUCAUAGCCCACCGGUAUCUGUAUUGAACAAAACUAACUCUCCUUUGGUAUUUUAUUUUUUUAUUCUAGUAAGCCAGGGCCGUUUUCCAAUACUCAACUUCGGCUCUGUCUCAGGCUUCAACUGUUUUUUUUACUACCUGACUUUGAAGCUGUAAACGCACCAAUUAGUCUAAUAGUGGUACAAAACACUAUAAGAUGCAAGAGAGCAAUAACUUGCAAUCCAAUUUGAUUUAAAUGCUUCAGGCUCACAAUCGGGGAUUGGU